rnacentral:rRNA from 1 species
UACGUAGGGGGCAAGCGUUGUCCGGAUUUAUUGGGCGUAAAGAGCGUGUAGGCGGCCAAGCAGGUCCGCUGUGAAAACUCGAGGCUCAACCUCGAGACGUCGGUGGAAACCGUUUGGCUAGAGUCCGGAAGAGGAGAGUGGAAUUCCCGGUGUAGCGGUGAAAUGCGCAGAUAUCGGGAAGAACACCCGUGGCGAAGGCGGCUCUCAGGGACGGUACUGACGCUGAGACGCGAAAGCGUGGGGAGCGAACAGG